rnacentral:rRNA from 1 species
AAGCUUGCUUGUUGGGGUUGUAGGACACUCUAUACGGAGUUACAAAGGACGACAUUAGACGAAUCAUCUGGAAAGAUGAAUCAAAGAAGGUAAUAAUCCUGUAGUCGAAAAUGUUGUCUCUCUUGAGUGGAUCCUGAGUACGACGGAGCACGUGAAAUUCCGUCGGAAUCUGGGAGGACCAUCUCCUAAGGCUAAAUACUCUCUAGUGACCGAUAGUGAACCAGUACCGUGAGGGAAAGGUGAAAAGCACCCCGGAAGGGGAGUGAAAUAGAACCUGAAACCGUGUGCUUACAAGUAGUCAGAGCCCGUUAAUGGGUGAUGGCGUGCCUUUUGUAGAAUGAACCGGCGAGUUACGAUUUGAUGCAAGGUUAAGCAGUAAAUGUGGAGCCGUAGCGAAAGCGAGUCUGAAUAGGGCGUUUAGUAUUUGGUCGUAGACCCGAAACCAGGUGAUCUACCCUUGGUCAGGUUGAAGUUCAGGUAACACUGAAUGGAGGACCGAACCGACUUACGUUGAAAAGUGAGCGGAUGAACUGAGGGUAGCGGAGAAAUUCCAAUCGAACCUGGAGAUAGCUGGUUCUCUCCGAAAUAGCUUUAGGGCUAGCCUCAAGUGAUGAUUAUUGGAGGUAGAGCACUGUUUGGACGAGGGGCCCCUCUCGGGUUACCGAAUUCAGACAAACUCCGAAUGCCAAUUAAUUUAACUUGGGAGUCAGAACAUGGGUGAUAAGGUCCGUGUUCGAAAGGGAAACAGCCCAGACCACCAGCUAAGGUCCCAAAAUAUAUGUUAAGUGGAAAAGGAUGUGGCGUUGCCCAGACAACUAGGAUGUUGGCUUAGAAGCAGCCAUCAUUUAAAGAGUGCGUAAUAGCUCACUAGUCGAGUGACACUGCGCCGAAAAUGUACCGGGGCUAAACAUAUUACCGAAGCUGUGGAUUGUCCUUUGGACAAUGGUAGGAGAGCGUUCUAAGGGCGUUGAAGCAUGAUCGUAAGGACAUGUGGAGCGCUUAGAAGUGAGAAUGCCGGUGUGAGUAGCGAAAGACGGGUGAGAAUCCCGUCCACCGAUUGACUAAGGUUUCCAGAGGAAGGCUCGUCCGCUCUGGGUUAGUCGGGUCCUAAGCUGAGGCCGACAGGCGUAGGCGAUGGAUAACAGGUUGAUAUUCCUGUACCACCUAUAAUCGUUUUAAUCGAUGGGGGGACGCAGUAGGAUAGGCGAAGCGUGCGAUUGGAUUGCACGUCUAAGCAGUAAGGCUGAGUAUUAGGCAAAUCCGGUACUCGUUAAGGCUGAGCUGUGAUGGGGAGAAGACAUUG